rnacentral:rRNA from 1 species
AUUGAACGCUGGCGGCAUGCCUUACACAUGCAAGUCGAACGAGACCUUCGGGUCUAGUGGCGCACGGGUGCGUAACGCGUGGGAAUCUGCCCCUCGGUUCGGAAUAACACAGAGAAAUUUGUGCUAAUACCGGAUAAUGACUUCGGUCCAAAGAUUUAUCGCCGAGGGAUGAGCCCGCGUAAGAUUAGCUUGUUGGUGGGGUAAUGGCCUACCAAGGCGACGAUCUUUAGCUGGUCUGAGAGGAUGAUCAGCCACACUGGGACUGAGACACGGCCCAGACUCCUACGGGAGGCAGCAGUGGGGAAUAUUGGACAAUGGGCGAAAGCCUGAUCCAGCAAUGCCGCGUGAGUGAUGAAGGCCUUAGGGUUGUAAAGCUCUUUUACCAGGGAUGAUAAUGACAGUACCUGGAGAAUAAGCUCCGGCUAACUCCGUG